GCCUUAGUAGCUCAGUGGUAGAGCGUUUGCCUAGUAUGGCAGCAAAAGGUCCAGUGUUCGACUCACUGUUGAGGCA
rfam:Melampsora larici-populina 98AG31 unplaced genomic scaffold MELLAscaffold_50, whole genome shotgun sequence.